rnacentral:rRNA from 1 species
UACGAAGGGGGCGAGCGUUGUUCGGAUUUACUGGGCGUAAAGGGCGCGCAGGCGGCUUCAUAUGUCAGACGUGAAAUCCCUCGGCUCAACCGGGGAACUGCGUCUGAGACUGAUGAGCUUGAGUGCAGGAGAGGAACGCGGAAUUCCAGGUGUAGCGGUGAAAUGCGUAGAUAUCUGGAGGAACACCGGUGGCGAAGGCGGCGUUCUGGACUGCAACUGACACUGAGGAACGAAAGCCCAGGGGGAGCAAAACGGG